rnacentral:miRNA from 10 species
GAGGUGGGAGGAUCGCUUGAUCCUGGGAGGUCAAGGCUCCAGUGAGUUGUGAUCAUACCACUGCACUCCAGCCUGGGUGAAAGAGCAAGACCCUAUCUC